rnacentral:rRNA from 1 species
GACGAACGCUGGCGGCGUGCUUAACACAUGCAAGUCGAACGGAAAGGCCCUGCUUUUGUGGGGUGCUCGAGUGGCGAACGGGUGAGUAACACGUGAGUAACCUGCCCUUGACUUUGGGAUAACUUCAGGAAACUGGGGCUAAUACCGGAUAGGAGCUCCUGCUGCUUGGUGGGCGUUGGAAAGUUUCGGCGGUUGGGGGUGGACUCGCGGCUUAUCAGCUUGUUGGUGGGGUAGUGGCUUACCAAGGCUUUGACGGGUAGCCGGCCUGAGAGGGUGACCGGCCACAUUGGGACUGAGAUACGGCCCAGACUCCUACGGGAGGCAGCAGUGGGGAAUAGUGCACAAUGGGAGGAAGCCUGAUGCAGCAACGCCGCGUGCGGGAUGACGGCCUUCGGGUUGGAAACCGCUUUCGCCUGUGACGAAGCGUGAGUGGCGGUAAUGGGUAAAGAAGCACCGGCUAACUACGUG